CCCUUAGAUGUUCUGGGCCGCACGCGCGCUACACUGACGAAGUCAGCGAGCAUCUCCUACGCCGAAAGGUGCGGGGAAUCUUGUGAAACUUUGUCGUGCUGGGGAUUGAUUUUUGAAAUUCUUGAUCAUCAACGAGGAAUUCCUAGUAAGCGCAAGUCAGCAGCUUGCGUUGAUUACGUCCCUGCCCUUUGUACACACCGCCCGUCGCUACUACCGAUUGAAUGGUUUAGUGAAAUUUUUGGACUGGAACUCUCUUGUUCAGCAAUGAACGAGAGGGACUCUGGGAAGCUAUUCUAACUGUAUCAUUUAGAGGAAGUAAAAGUCGUAACA
rnacentral:rRNA from 1 species